rnacentral:rRNA from 1 species
UACAUGGGGUGCAAACGUUGCUCGGAAUCACUGGGCGUAAAGGGCGUGUAGGCGGGGAGGAAAGUCAGAUGUGAAAUCCCUGGGCUCAACCCAGGAACUGCAUUUGAAACUCCCUUUCUUGAGUGUCGGAGAGGAAAGCGGAAUUCCUGGUGUAGAGGUGAAAUUCGUAGAUAUCAGGAGGAACACCGGUGGCGAAGGCGGCUUUCUGGACGACAACUGACGCUGAUGAGCGAAAGCCAGGGGAGCAAACGGG